GACGAACGCUGGCGGCGUGCUUAACACAUGCAAGUCGAACGAUGAAGCCGGAGCUUGCUCCGGUGGAUUAGUGGCGAACGGGUGAGUAACACGUUAGCAAUCUGCCCUUGACUCUGGGAUAACUGCGGGAAACUGUAGCUACUACCGGAUACGACACCUUGGGGCAUCCCAGGGUGUGGAGAGAAUUUCGGUCAAGGAUGAGCCCGCUGCCUAUCAGCUGUUUGCCGAGGUAAUGGCUCACCAAGGCGACGACGGGUAGCCGGCCUGAGAGGGUGACCGGCCACACUGGAACUGAGACACGGUCCAGACUCCUACGGGAGGCAGCAGUGGGGAAUAUUGCACAAUGGGCGAAAGCCUGAUGCAGCAACGCCGCGUGAGGGAUGAAGGCCUUCGGGUUGUAAACCUCUUUUAGCAGGGAAGAAGCGAAAGUGACGGUACCUGCAGAAAAAGCACCGGCUAACUACGUGCCAGCCGCCGCGGUAA
rnacentral:rRNA from 1 species